AUACAAUAUACUUUGGCAGUUAAAUACUGUUUUGAUAUAAACGGAUAUUUCGCGUUGACUAUGAUGAUGACAAUUGGCGAAGAAUUUCAAAUUAUCUAAACUCUGAUAAUUACAUGAAAAUUCAUGUUCUUAAUCGUGUCCAAAUUAUCGAUGAUGCAUUUCAUUUAAUGAUAGCAGGCCAACUUAACUGCCAUAUAUUCUGGGAUCUCAUAAAAUAUUUGCAUCGAGAAGAAGAUUAUGUGGCAUGGUAUCCUAUGUUUAAAGCUAUUGAAUACAUGUAUGGUACUUUUCCAUGGAAAAAAAUGGUUGGAAAUGUUACGUUUAGAAUAAAGCACGCAUUAUACAUGGUACU